AUGAAAGUCCCAUUGAAAAUAAAAUUCUUCAUGUGGUACUCGGAUCGCAAGGUCAUCCUAACAAAAGAUAAUCUGAUAAAAAGAGAUUGGCAAGGAUGCACCAAGUGUUGCUUUUGUGGCGAUGAGGAGUUGAUUGAGCAUCUAUUCCUUCAAUGCCCACUUGCCAAGCUACUAUGGCAAACGAUCCAUAUAGCUUUCAAUCUACCUCCACCGACGAGUAGUACAAAUAUGUUUGGAAACUGGUUAGUGGGGAUGCACCCUAAGUUGAAGUCUCGGAUUCGUGUGGGAAUUUGUGCUUUACUUUGGGCCGUUUGGAACACUCAUAAUGAUUGUAUUUUUAACAGAACGAAAGUUUCAAAUUUUUUGCAGGUUAUCUUCAAGGCCAGCAGCUGGAUCCAUACGUGGUCAUUACUACAUAAGGAGGAGGAUCGGGCGCCUACGGUCUUUGGGUGCAACCGAUGA
rnacentral:rRNA from 1 species